GACAAAUCAUACAGAGUCCAACUUACAUUGUUAGGGCUAAAAUUGGUACUCCACCUCAAACUUUGCUUUUGGCUAUGGAUACUAGUAAUGAUGCUGCUUGGAUUCCUUGUACUGCUUGUGAUGGUUGUGCUUCAACUUUGUUUGCUCCUGAAAAAUCAACUACAUUUAAGAAUGUUAGUUGUGCUGCUCCUGAAUGCAAACAGGUAUUUACUUCACUAACAAAGACACAUUUUUUUGUCAAGGUUUUCGUGACUAGGUAUAUUUUUAUAUUGGCGUAAAUUUGAUAAAAUUAUGAUAGUACUAUGAUUUCGUGAAACUUUAAAAUGUAGUUUUUGUUAAAAAAUUACGAAGGUUCAUCUUGAUUCUGAUAAUCUCAUCACCGUGAAUCUAAACAUUGGAAGAAAAUUAUGGUUUUAAAUUGUGGUUGUGGUCGUGACUUUGAUAUGGUGACACGAUACAAAUGAUGCAAUUGCAAUUAUCGUCACGAUGUUGCUAAGACAUCUAAAACUUUAUAAUGUUGCUAUAAUUGUUUGCAAACCCUAAUUUAAAAAUCUGAGUUGAUUUCAAUUUCCAAGCUCUCACAUCUAUUUUUUAUUUUGAUUCUUUGCCUUUUUCUUCAUAAACAUUUUUUUCGGUGCAAUGAUUUAUUUUUACUCCAAGGUAUUUAUUCUAAUAAUUUGCUAGUACCUUCAUUAAAAAUUGAAAUAUUUUGAUUUUUGAUUAUAUGCAAAAUCUAUUCAUGGUUUUCAUGUUUUGUUAACUAGCUAGUGGAUUAUGCAUUAUUAAAAUCACAACAAUUGUGAAAUAUUUGUUGAAAAAGGUAAUCUGUUUAAUAUAUGAUCAUACUUUAAGAAAAGAUGUGAUUUGAAUACUUUACAGUUUUUUAUUUCGUAAUCAGCAUCAUAACAUAAGAUACUAUAUUUUUAUUUUGUAAUCAUAUCCAAAGAUACUCCUUAUUUUGUCGAUUGUCAUAUUUCUAUUCUAUUUUAAAAUUUAAAACAAUCACGUGACCUCAAAUGCCACAAGGUACACAUCGCUACUGUGAAUGUUUUUGUACUCUAGUGAAGUGUACAUAAAAAUUUGUUUGAACUGGUGAAAGAUUUGUUUUGAGGAUGCCAAUAAAAUUAUUGAAUCACUACAUGAUAUUUAGUGUAGAAGUGAGCCAAUUAAAUUCUUCAAAUUAAUGGAAUUUUUAUAUGAUCCCUAAAAAUUACUAAAAUACUUGGUCACUUUGUUACGUGACAAUUGUAAAACUAAUUUGAUCGACUAAAAGAUAAAAGAAUAUCCUUCUGGUUGUAUUUAUAAGCAAUUUUUUUUUAUAACUGAUGUGUUUGGAUUAUAAUAUAUUUCAGAUACAUCAGUUAUUAUGUUUUAAAAAAAAAAAAAUACAUCUGUUAUUUAAUAAAUCUAAAAAAACAAAAAUAUUUAUAAAUAUGAUCGGAAAAAGUAUUAUAUAUCGUCGUAAAAUAGAGCUUAAAUUAUCUUAGACAAACUACUUAAAUUAUCUUUACUUGGACAAAAGUUCACAUGACAUACAGCUUGGCACGAAUCUUUUACCUUUACUUGCCGUUGAAGGGUAAUUACUAGUUUCACAAUGAAAGGGACUACAAGGAGAGAUUAUUUGAUCACAUUGAAACGUGCAACUUUUGUCCCAUUGUAGGUGGGGUUGACUUAUAUCCUAGCCCAAUCUAUGAAUCCAAAAUAUUGAAAGCUAUGUGCUCUCUAUGGCAGGCAAAGGUUCACGAGACUUGGAGUCUUCUAAAAUCUAAAUGCACUUUUUCCAAUGAUGUAAUCAUGGUUUAAAAAUUGGAUUGAAACCGUCGUAUUAAUCGGUCAAUAAAAAUUGACCGAUUUAUCAGUUGGUUUAUUUUCGACAGUUUUAAAUUCUAUUAGUUGAAUUAGAUUGAUAUGAGUUGAAUAGAUUGAAUUGAAUUCUAGUUGAAUUAGAUUGAACUAGGUUGAGUUGAUUGAAUUGUAAAUGACGAAAAAAUUCAAAAAUCGAUUAAUACAUUGGUUGGUUUAUUCUGGUCUAAUAACCAUUGAAUGGAUUGAACCAUGAUCAGUCUUAUUAAUUCAUUCUCCAUCUCAUUUUUGAAACAUUGGUAUUAAUGUGAACAUUUUAUUUUGUUUCAUUUUUCAGGUACCUAACCCUGGUUGUGGUGUGAGCUCAUGCAAUUUCAACCUAACCUAUGGCAGUUCCUCUAUUGCAGCUAACUUGGUACAAGACACUAUUACCUUAGCCACCGACCCAGUUCCUAGCUACACAUUCGGUUGUGUUUCAAAAACCACAGGCACCUCUGCCCCACCACAAGGUCUAUUGGGCUUGGGCCGAGGCCCGUUGUCACUUUUGUCUCAAACCCAAAACCUCUAUCAGUCCACAUUCUCUUAUUGCUUGCCAAGUUUCAAGUCUCUUAACUUCUCUGGGUCUUUGAGACUUGGACCUGUUGCUCAACCCAAGAGGAUUAAGUAUACCCCUCUUCUCAAUAAUCCUAGACGAUCAUCACUCUAUUAUGUUAACUUGGAAGCAAUUAGUGUUGGCCGAAAAGUCGUCGAUAUUCCACCAGCCGCAUUGGCUUUUAAUCCGACCACUGGAGCCGGUACCAUCUUUGAUUCAGGUAACACACUUUUACCUAGUCCAACAUAAAAAUAUACUCUUAGAUGUCUAACACGUAGAAUAUUUGAUUCAAAUUUUUUUGAAGAAAGAAAAUCAAUUGAAAGUUCUAAUAUUUACUUAAAUGCAUUAUUUUGUUAUAGAACAACAUAUAGAAAUUCUAGUUACCAUAAUCAUAUUAUAAUUCUUUGUAUUUAUUGUUAAACAUUACCAGGUACCGUGUUUACUCGGCUGGUUGCCCCGGUCUAUGUCGCGGUUAGAGACGAGUUCCGGCGAAGAGUUGGGCCAAAGCUCACAGUGACAUCCCUAGGAGGGUUUGACACAUGCUACAAUGUCCCAAUAGUUGUACCCACAAUAACAUUCAUAU
rnacentral:lncRNA from 1 species